GACGAACGCUGGCGGCGUGCUUAACACAUGCAAGUCGAACGGUGAUGCUCCAGCUUGCUGGAGUGGAUCAGUGGCGAACGGGUGAGUAACACGUGAGCAACCUGCCCCAGACUCUGGAAUAAGCGCUGGAAACGGCGUCUAAUACUGGAUACGAAACUGGCCCGCAUGGGCAUGGUUUGGAAAGUUUUUCGGUUUGGGAUGGGCUCGCGGCCUAUCAGCUUGUUGGUGAGGUAAUGGCUCACCAAGGCGACGACGGGUAGCCGGCCUGAGAGGGCGACCGGCCACACUGGGACUGAGACACGGCCCAGACUCCUACGGGAGGCAGCAGUGGGGAAUAUUGCACAAUGGGCGAAAGCCUGAUGCAGCGACGCCGCGUGAGGGAUGACGGCCUUCGGGUUGUAAACCUCUUUCAGCAGGGAAGAAGCGAAAAUGACGGUACCUGCAGAAGAAGCACCGGCUAACUACGUG
rnacentral:rRNA from 1 species